rnacentral:hammerhead_ribozyme from 1 species
GUACUGCUGACGAAUCCGAUAAUGGGACGAAACGGCCGUCCAGUGC